CAUGCAGGCGGUCGGACGCGUUUUGUGUGACAGCGGGUGGCUUAACUACCCGAGUAUGCGAAAGACGGUCUGACUUGAGGGCUCGAGAGGGACACGGAAUUCCGGGUGGAGUGGUGAAAUGCGUAGAGAUCCGGAGGAACACCGAAGGCGAAGGCAGUGUCCUGGCGAGUGACUGACGCUGAGGUGCGAAAGCUAGGGGAGCGAACGGGAUUAGAUACCCCGGUAGUCCUAGCCGUAAACGAUGACCACCAGGUGUGGGAGGUAUCGACCCCUUCCGUGCCGGAGGAAACCCACUAAGUGGUCCGCCUGGGGAGUACGGUCGCAAGAUUAAA
rnacentral:rRNA from 1 species